rnacentral:rRNA from 1 species
CCUACGGGAGGCAGCAGUGGGGAAUAUUGGGCAAUGGGCGCAAGCCUGACCCAGCAACGCCGCGUGAAGGAUGAAGGCCUUCGGGUUGUAAACUUCUUUUCUCAGGGACGAAGAAAGUGACGGUACCUGAGGAAUAAGCCUCGGCUAACUACGUGCCAGCAGCCGCGGUAAUACGUAGGUGGCAAGCGUUAUCCGGAUUUAUUGGGUGUAAAGGGCGCGUAGGUGGGAUGGCAAGUCAGAAGUGAAACGUCGGGGCUCAACCCUGGACCUGCGUUUGAAACUGUGUUUCUUGAGUGCUGGAGAGGCAAUCGGAAUUCCGGGUGUAGCGGUGAAAUGCGUAGAUAUACGGAGGAACACCAGUGGCGAAGGCGGAUUGCUGGACAGUAACUGACGCUGAGGCGCGAAAGCGUGGGGAGCAAACAGGAUUAGAUACCCCUGUAGUC